AAGACUAUACUUUCAGGGAUUAUUUCUAUAUUCGUUACUAGAGAAGUUUCUCUGACUGAGUAUGGAAACCAGGAGGAGGGGGUGUGGCGUCCUCUCCUGAGCGGGAAGCAGCUCCUGGCCUGGCUUUGCUGCAACUGCCACUGGGCCAUUGAGGAUCGUUCCUGCACUCCUUCGGGGGAGCUGGAGGGAGACGAUGUGAAAUAAUAAAU